UUCUGAUUGAUUAAUAAUCAGUAAGGCCUGCUCAAUGAUUUCUUAAAUAGCCGCGAUUUACGUGCUAAGGUAGCAUAAUCAAUUGCCUUCUAAUUAAAGGCUAGAAUGAAAGGCUCUACAUAUAAAAUUCUUUAUUAACAAUAUUUCUUUAAACUAAUUUAUAAAUAAAAAAGUUUAUAUAUUUAAGGAGGACGACAAGACCCUAUCGAGCUUCACUUUCAGUUUCACUGGGGAGGUGGAAUAAAAAGAACUUUUUAUUUUCUAUAUAAAUAUAAUUCAGAAAGAAUAUUGAACUAGUUACCGUAGGGAUAACAGCACAAUUAAUUUUAGAAGAUCUUAUUUUAAAAUUAGAUUAUGACCUCGAUGUUGAAUUAAAGUACCUUUAGGAGAAAAAGCUUAAAAGGAAAGUCUGUUCGACUUUUAAAACUUU
rnacentral:rRNA from 1 species